AUAUAACAAGGGGAUUGACGUAAA
rnacentral:siRNA from 1 species